AUUGAACGCUGGCGGAAUGCUUUACACAUGCAAGUCGAACGGCAGCACGGACUUCGGUUUGGUGGCGAGUGGCGAACGGGUGAGUAAUAUAUCGGAACGUGCCCCGUCGUGGGGGAUAACGUAGUGAAAAUUACGCUAAUACCGCAUACGAUUUUCGGAUGAGAGCGGGGGAUCGCAAGACCUCGCGCGAUUGGAGCGGCCGAUAUCAGAUUAGGUAGUUGGUGAGGUAAAGGCUCACCCAGCCAACGAUCUGUAGCUGGUUUGAGAGGACGACCCGCCCCACUGGAAAUGAGACACGGUCCCGACUCCUUCGGGAGGCAGCAGUGGGGAAUUUUGGACAAUGGACGCAAGUUUGAUCCAGCCCUUUCGCGUGCAGGACGAAGGCCUUCGGGUUGUAAACUGCUUUUGUACAGAACGAAAAGGUCUUUAUUAAUACUAGGGGCUCCUGACGGAAGGGUAAGAAUAAGCACCGGCUAAAUACGUGCCCGCCGCC
rnacentral:rRNA from 1 species